rnacentral:rRNA from 1 species
AUUGAACGCUGGCGGCAGGCCUAACACAUGCAAGUCGAGCGAGCGGCGGACGGGUGAGUAAUGUCUGGGAAACUGCCUGAUGGCGGGGGGUAACUACUGGAAACGGUAGCUAAUACCGCAUACCAUCAGAUGUGCCCCGAUGGGAUUAGCUAGUAGGUGGGGUAACGGCUCACCUAGGCGACGAUCCAUAGCUGGUCUGCGAGGAUGACCAGCCACACUGGAACUGGGACGCGGUCCAUACUCCUACGGGAGGCAGCAGUGGGGAAUAUUGCACAAUGGGCGCAAGACUGAUGCAGCCAGGCGGCGUGUGUGAAGAAGGCCUUCGGGUUGUAAAGCACGUUCAGCGGGGAGGCGUUACCCGCAGAAGAAGCACCGGCUAACUCCGUGCCAGCAGCCGCGGUAAUUC